GCCCCCGUAGCCCAAUCGGCAGAGGCGAACGACUUAAAAUCGUUAAAGUCUGGGUUCAAGUCCCAGCGGGGGCACCA
rnacentral:tRNA from 1 species